AGGUCUAUACUAACCUGUAGAUUAUAUUAUAGAGGAUUAGGUCUAUACUAACCUGUAGAUUAUAUUAUAGAGGAUUAGGUCUAUACUAACCUGUAGAUUAUAUUAUAGAGGAUUAGGUCUAUACUAACCUUUAGAUUAUAUUAUAGAGGAUUAGGUCUAUACUAACCUGUAGAUUAUAUUAUAGAGGAUUAGGUCUAUACUAACCUGUAGAUUAUAUUAUAGAGGAUUAGGUCUAUACUAACCUGUAGAUUAUAUUAUAGAGGAUUAGGUCUAUACUAACCUGUAGAUUAUAUUAUAGAGGAUUAGGUCUAUACUAACCUGUAGAUUAUAUUAUAGAGGAUUAGGUCUAUACUAACCUG